rnacentral:rRNA from 1 species
GAUGAACGCUGGCGGCGUGCCUAAUACAUGCAAGUCGAGCGAACAGACGAGGAGCUUGCUCCUCUGACGUUAGCGGCGGACGGGUGAGUAACACGUGGAUAACCUACCUAUAAGACUGGGAUAACUUCGGGAAACCGGAGCUAAUACCGGAUAAUAUAUUGAACCGCAUGGUUCAAUAGUGAAAGACGGUUUUGCUGUCACUUAUAGAUGGAUCCGCGCCGCAUUAGCUAGUUGGUAAGGUAACGGCUUACCAAGGCAACGAUGCGUAGCCGACCUGAGAGGGUGAUCGGCCACACUGGAACUGAGACACGGUCCAAACUCCUACGGGAGGCAGCAGUAGGGAAUCUUCCGCAAUGGGCGAACGCCUGACGGAGCAACGCCGCGGGAGUGAUGAAGGUCUUCGGAUCGUAAAACUCUGUUAUUAGGGAAGAACAAAUGUGUAAGUAACUAUGCACGUCUUGACGGUACCUAAUCAGAAAACCACGGCUAACUACGU